GAUGAACGCUGGCGGCGUGCUUAACACAUGCAAGUCGAACGGAAAGGCCAGUGCUUGCACUGGUACUCGAGUGGCGAACGGGUGAGUAACACGUGGGUGAUCUGCCCUGCACUUCGGGAUAAGCCUGGGAAACUGGGUCUAAUACCGGAUAGGACAAUGGUUUGGAUGCCGUUGUGGAAAGUUUUUUCGGUGUGGGAUGAGCUCGCGGCCUAUCAGCUUGUUGGUGGGGUAAUGGCCUACCAAGGCGUCGACGGGUAGCCGGCCUGAGAGGGUGUACGGCCACAUUGGGACUGAGAUACGGCCCAGACUCCUACGGGAGGCAGCAGUGGGGAAUAUGGCACAAUGGGCGCAAGCCUGAUGCAGCGACGCCGCGUGGGGGAUGACGGCCUUCGGGUUGUAAACUCCUUUCGCUAGGGACGAAGCGUAUUUGUGACGGUACCUGGAGAAGAAGCACCGGCUAACUACGUG
rnacentral:rRNA from 1 species